rnacentral:rRNA from 1 species
GCAAUCCUGGCGGCGAGUGGCGAACGGGUGAGUAAUACAUCGGAACGUGCCCAAUCGUGGGGGAUAACGCAGCGAAAGCUGUGCUAAUACCGCAUACGAUCUACGGAUGAAAGCAGGGGAUCGCAAGACCUUGCGCGAAUGGAGCGGCCGAUGGCAGAUUAGGUAGUUGGUGAGGUAAAGGCUCACCAAGCCUUCGAUCUGUAGCUGGUCUGAGAGGACGACCAGCCACACUGGGACUGAGACACGGCCCAGACUCCUACGGGAGGCAGCAGUGGGGGAUUUUGGACAAUGGGCGAAAGCCUGAUCCAGC